AUACAGUAGGGCAGGGGAGUUACUUGAUCACGAAGGAGGUUUUCCCAGGGUGAGGCUCAUCCAUUGCACUCCGGGUCUGCUGACCCCUGUGAUUUCCCCAAAUGCGGGAAACUCGACUGCAUAAUAAUUUACACUGUAAUACUUAUUCAGUAAAAUACUAAU